rnacentral:SRP_RNA from 2 species
GCUGGGCGUGGUGGCUCAUGCCUGUAAUCCCAGUACUUUGGGAGGCUGAGGCGAGUGGAUCACCUGAGGUCAGGAGUUCCAGACCAGCCUGGCCAACAUGGUGAAAACUUGUCUCUA